rnacentral:misc_RNA from 1 species
ACUUGUUAUUCAGUGCGAAGCUAAACAUAUUUGCCGCAACAUGGCAACAAUGGCAACAACUCACGGUUUGUCAGUUUUAACGAAUUCCAGUGUAAAGCCGCCCUUGAAUCCUAAAACAGGAUUAUCUGCAUCAUUGCAUGAAAGACCCGGGCCUACACUUGGAAGGUUUUCGGGAAUUUACUUCGAUGAUUAUGAUCCUGACAGACAGGCAGAAAAAGAAAUUUUUGAACCCAGAUUCACAUCGAGGCCCAGUACAGUAGACACGCCAGACCUUUUACAGUUAGGUAAACUCUCAGACGAAGAAUUUUAUCAGAAACUGUUAGAAUUAAAAAAUGAACAAAGAAAAAUAUUGCAAAAGUGUGAGAAAGUUUACAUUGAAAAACACGAGGGUGUGAUUGCCCCUACAUUUCCAGAGGAGGAUGCUGUGAAGACCCCAAUAAGAACAGUUGCAUCAAAUUCUUACAAUGAAACAUACAGAUCGGAAACAUUUGUUGAUGAAGAUGGUGUUCUUAUAUCAACACGGAGGCCAAGAUCUCCUCUGUCUCCAGCUAGGUCAGCUUCCCCAUUUGCAGGCAGCAGAGGUAAUAGUCCACCAAGAGCUGAAUCACCAGCAAGGGAGUCCCUUACAGACUCCUUCAGCAGACCGCCAACAGGAAGACCUCCAAUACCACUUGCAGCAAAAUCAAUGACAUCUCCACCAUCCCGUCCAAGAUCUGCACCAAUUCCUCGUGAAAUUGCAAAGUCACUCGAAGAUCUUCGCUCGGCAACACUUGGCUUAAAAAAGUCAUUUGAAGUGAGUGACAGUGAAUAUAUUCCAGAUGAUACAGUCUCAGAGCCUUACAGAGAUCAUGAUAGGUCUUUGUCUACAAUAGAACAUAUGUGGCAAAACUUUUCAAUAAAUGAUUAUACACCUAGAAGAUCUGUGAAAGAAAGAACCAUGGAAAGACCAUCUUCAGCAAAAGUAACACGUAAUGAGAAGAGGCAGAAAGAUAGUUGGCGUCAUAGGCUCACAGUACCAAAACCUUUCACCAUGACAUUGAGAGAUGAAAGUAAGGAAAAGAAGAAAUCCAAGAAUCUUAAAGAAUUUGAAGAGCAAAAGUAUCAAAAAGAAAUUGAAGAGGAAGAAGAACUGAAGAAAAAAUUCAAAGCAAGACCAGUUCCAGCUCAUGUCUAUCUGCCCCUGUUUGAUGAAAUUCAGGAAAAAGGUGAAGAAAAGCGACGUCAUAUAAGACAACAGAGUGCUGAAUUGUUAAAAUCUCAAGAAAAGCCGUUUAGUUUUUUGAAACGGGAAGAAGACAGAAAACAACAUCAAAGAAUGGAGAGAGAUUGUAAUGAUUUAGGUUACACUGACACAAAAACUAAAACAAAGCCUGAAUCAUUUAAGGCAAAUCCAGUACCAAAGCAUAUAUUUGAUUCUACCGUUGAUGACAAAAUAAUGGAAGAAGAGGAAUACAGAAAGAUCAGAAUUAAAAUGAGAGCAGAAGAAUUGUUAAGGUCUUCCUCUUUGCCACCAAAUAUGAAUACAAGAGAACAAAUGAAAGAGCAAAAAGAAAGAGAGCAAAGAAUGAAAAACAAAAGGAAAGGUAAAGGAACAAAAAGUGCAACACGACUAAGAAUUAACCAUGAGGUCCCAAAUUAUGAUGCAUUGUAUCGUCAGUUUCAGCAAGAAUUACAGAGAAGGAAAGGAAUGCGAGAAUCAACUGUAUCUCAGCCAUUUAGACUUGAGACAGAGAGGACUGGCAAAUCUACUGUAGAAAGAAUUAAAAAAGAAAUUGAAAAGGAAGAAGAAACUAUGAGGGAGAAUAGAUGGCCGUACAAACUCCCAAGGACAAAAGUUAAACUAGGUCACAUGUCAUCAUCACUGGAUGCCUUACCAGCAAAAUCAACGAGGUCUGCAGAUGCAAGAACCAGCAAAACUAGGAGCCACAUUCAGAAGCUGUCAGAGAGAGAACUUCAGGAAAUCGAGGAAGAUCGACGUCGACGUGUAAAGGAAAUGAGAUUGAGAAGAGCAAUCCAAGAGAAAACUAUGACACAUGAUACACCUAGAGAGACUCUGGAGGAGAGAAAGAAAAAAAAACAGGGAAGCAGAUAGAGCCAGAAUGGAAGAGUAUGAAAGAGAAAUGCAGGAGAUGAAGAACAGAAUAAACAGAAGACCACUAUUGUUUGAACAGGAAUCUCAGGUAAAUGCUAAAAAGAAGGCAGAGAAGAAGUUUAACGCCACGUUGAGAAGUGUUGGUUUGGACGAAGAGUUUGUACAGAGCCGAGGAUCUAGGUCAGCUAGUGUUCAUGAUUACACAGAUGAUUAUGAUGAUGAUGA